GCGCUGCGAUGUUCUAAAUUGCUCGGCAAAAUCAGAUAGAUAAUAAAAUUGCAAUCGGACUUAAAAUCCGUUGGGCCCUUGGCCCGUGCCGGUUCGAUCCCGGCCGCCCGCACCA
rnacentral:tRNA from 1 species